CACUGUUAUGUUACAGCUUUUGCGACCGUGGCAAACUUCUUGAAGACUCUUGGUUCCGCUCUCAAUGAUGCACGCUUCAAAAAAGUGGGAAGAAAAACUUACUUUCUUGAGGCACUUCGCGGGGCUGAGGACAGCGAAAAUCCUGGUAUUUUAUUCUACCGUAUGCAGCACUGUAAACGGCGACACGACUUCCAGGAUUACAGGAAAGAGUGAUGUUCUCUUUAUCACAGCCCACGAUGCUUCGAAAUUCAACUGCAAACGGUCCGCACUUGUAGGCUAAUUCAAUGAAUAGAGGUCCUUCACGAAAUAGAUAAUCCGUGCACGAUCCGUCUUUAAGGAUCUGACUCCUGGUGACUUCGCACUGUCCUUUAUUUUGACAAUUCUCCACAACAGUUUGCAGCAGAGAGUACUGUUCCAGCAUCUGACAGAAUAAAUAUAGUUGUGCGCGAUCCACCGGGAGAAGAGGGCGAGAAUCAUUCACGCAAGGGCGCUCACAGAAGAAGAAGUACCAAGAUAAAAAAGAACACAUGAUCCCAUAGUAGCCAUUACUCUUCCUGAGUCGAACAAGAUGCUGCUGAAACGUGUACAGCCUCCAUGAUGCCAUCCCGACAUAUGACAAGAAUAUCUGAGGGAGAGAGAAAGAGAGCGAGAGAAUGUUCUCCCUCUAUACCCCGAAAGCUUCAGAAACUGGGUUAAUGGCUCUGAUGAUCGUGAGACUCUAGAGAACAUCAUCGCGAGCAUCGUUAUCCUUACUCUUGUUAAGUAUCAUGCAUGCACACAGAUGUGUAUAUAUCUAACAUCCCUCUAUACCUUAUAUACAAGAUGGUACACCUUACUUGCAUCGUUGCACAUUCUAAUUACAAAGAUAUUUUCUAAUUAAUAUCCAUUGACGCUUCCGCACUAAACAGGAAGUUCCAUUGUCACGCCGUAACCUAACCUAACAAUAGUGAGAGGCACGCGACGAACUGGAAGCCACGCAUAACCUAGAAACUGUAUUACUGCAUAAUAACGUGUGAGAGAAUAAAGAAAGAGGAAAGAGGCAUAUAAAGCAAAUUAAAAGAGCAAGCAGGCAGAAACAAGGAUUUGCUGGACAGACAGGAUGAUCUCGUCGUGACGACUGGAUGUAGGAAAAAAGUUGGAUAACGCAGAUAAAGAAGAAAAGAAAGAAAAUGACGCGUGUGAAAAAAAGCCAAAGGAGAAGUGUUGGUAAAAAUUAUGAAACGUUAAAAAAAUGAAUGGAAAAUAAGAGAAUGAGGGAAAGCAACAGCAGCAUUGACAAUGACAAAGUGGUUGGUUCGUGUAUUCAGUUUUUUGUGGAGUUUCGAGUGGACGCUAAUGUAUGUUCUCUGACUGACGCGUCUAGUCUGGCCUUUGCGUACUACGCUAUGCUACUCGCAUUCAUUUCUGAAAAAUGUAUUAUUCAUACUAGGGAAACGAACGGGCUUAAUCAGCUAGCCAAAUGGAGGGACCAUCGGUGUGUUUCGUAUUUGCUCGUAAUGUCGUAUUUGUUUUAAUCACUCACGAUUAAAGCGCGAAUAGUUUUAAUUUAUUAAUUUGAAUCUCAUGUUAAAGACAUAUAGACGUCUGUAGCGUGGGGCUGAACGCAAACAAUAAUUUCUAUUUACAACUGUAUAGUACAAAUUUGAAUAAGUUUAAAUGAGGUUUUAGCUUUUAUUACGUUAUUACCGUAGCUUUACUGUUUACCGAACUGUCUACUCUUUUAAUAUAUUUUCUAAAAGUGCCAAUGAUCGUACGCAUUAUUCAUAAUAUUCAUCUGAAGCUUGAAUUCAUUGUAUGGAAAAAAUCCCUGAUCGCAAAGUUAAAGCGAUUCAAAUAGAUCUUCAUUUGGACAGUGAAAACUGAACUCAACAAUUGAACGCCCUACGCAACAAGUGUCUUCUGGUUUUCUUUAAUUGACUUAUGUUGUUAUCAAUUAUAUGCAUAAUUUGAUUUACAUUUUUUUAAUAGAAAUAAUCACAUUGUUUUUCAAUAUAGUUGACUUGUUUUCCACAAAAGAUCCUUGAGUUUAUUUUGAUUCUUCUUUUUUAUUCCUUCAUUUGUCUUGUUCUUUUUGAGUAACUUAACUUUAACUUCCGGUCUGUAAUAUUUGCUAUGUUAUUUUAUAUUCUGUUUUGUCUAUCUUGCUGAACCUAAUGAGCGGCG